UACGUAGGGUGCAAGCGUUGUCCGGAAUUAUUGGGCGUAAAGAGCUUGUAGGCGGUUUGUCGCGUCUGCUGUGAAAUUUCGGGGCUCAACCCCGAACUUGCAGUGGAUACGGGCAGACUAGAGUGUGGUAGGGGAGACUGGAAUUCCUGGUGUAGCGGUGAAAUGCGCAGAUAUCAGGAGGAACACCGAUGGCGAAGGCAGGUCUCUGGGCCAUAACUGACGCUGAGAAGCGAAAGCAUGGGGAGCGAACAGG
rnacentral:rRNA from 1 species